rnacentral:rRNA from 1 species
AGAGUUUGAUCUCGGUUCAGAUUGAACGCAGGCGGUUUGCUUAACACAUGCAAGUUGAACGGUAACAGGCCCUUCGGGGUGCUGACGAGUGGCGGACGGGUGAGUAAUGCAUGGGAAUCUGCCCAAUAGUGGGGGAAAACCCGGGGAAACCCGGGCUAAUGCCGCAUACGCCCUACGGGGGAAAGGCUUCGGCCGCUAUUGGAUGAUCCCAUGUCCGAUUAGCUAGUUGGUGAGGUAAUGGCUCACCAAGGCGACGAUCGGUAGUUGGUUUGAGAGAAUGAUCAGCCACACUGGGAGUGAGACACGGCCCAGACUCCUACGGGAGGCAGCAGUGGGGAAUAUUGGACAAUGGGGGAAACCUUGAUCCAGCAAUACCGCGUGUGUGAAGAAGGCUUGCGGGUUGUAAAGCACUUUUGGUAGGAAAGAUUAUGACGGUACCUACAGAAGAAGCACCGGCUAACUCCGUGCCAGCAGCCGCGGUAAUAAGGGCGAAUUC